rnacentral:rRNA from 1 species
CCUCCCACCCUUGUCUCUAUACACCUGUUGCUUUGGCGGGCCCACCGGGGCCCCCUGGUCGCCGGGGGACGCACGUCUCCGGGCCCGCGCCCGCCGAAGCGCUCUGUGAACCCUGAUGAAGAUGGGCUGUCUGAGUACUGUGAAAAUUGUCAAAACUUUCAACAAUGGAUCUCUUGGUUCCGGCAUCGAUGAAGAACGCAGCGAAAUGCGAUAAGUAAUGUGAAUUGCAGAAUUCCGUGAAUCAUCGAAUCUUUGAACGCACAUUGCGCCCCCUGGCAUUCCGGGGGGCAUGCCUGUCCGAGCGUCAUUUCUGCCCUCAAGCACGGCUUGUGUGUUGGGUGUGGUCCCCCCGGGGACCUGCCCGAAAGGCAGCGGCGACGUCCGUCUGGUCCUCGAGCGUAUGGGGCUCUGUCACUCGCUCGGGAAGGACCUGCGGGGGUUGGUCACCACCAUGUUUUACCACGGUUGACCUCGGAUCAGGUAGGAGUUACCCGCUGAACUUAAGCAUAUCAAUAAGGCGGAGGA